rnacentral:rRNA from 1 species
ACGUACAAGCAGUAGGAGCACCUUCGUGGUGUGACUGCGUACCUUUUGUAUAAUGGGUCAGCGACUUAUAUUCAGUGGCAAGGUUAACCAUCUAGGGGAGCCGUAGGGAAACCGAGUCUUAACUGGGCGCCAUAGUCUCUGGAUAUAGACCCGAAACCGAGUGAUCUAGCCAUGGGCAGGUUGAAGGUUGAGUAACAUCAACUGGAGGACCGAACCGACUAAUGUUGAAAAAUUAGCGGAUGACUUGUGGCUAGGGGUGAAAGGCCAAUCAAACUCGGAGAUAGCUGGUUCUCCCCGAAAGCUAUUUAGGUAGCGCCUCGGACGAAUACUACUGGGGGUAGAGCACUGUUAAGGCUAGGGGGUCAUCCCGACUUACCAACCCUUUGCAAACUCCGAAUACCAGUAAGUACUAUCCGGGAGACACACGGCGGGUGCUAACGUCCGGCGUGGAGAGGGAAACAACCCAGACCGCCAGCUAAGGUCCCAAAUUACAGCUAAGUGGGAAACGAUGUGGGAAGGCUUAGACAGCUAGGAUGUUGGCUUAGAAGCAGCCAUCAUUUAAAGAAAGCGUAAUAGCUCACUAGUCGAGUCGGCCUGCGCGGAAGAUGUAACGGGGCUAAGUUGUAAACCGAAGCUGCGGCAAUGUUCUAUGAACAUUGGGUAGGGGAGCGUUCUGUAAGCCGUUGAAGG